UGAAACACAACAACAACUUGGCAACAACAACACAACAUUGCAGCACUCUCCACUCCCCUUACUUCAAGCUUACAAUUUUUAACCUUUUCCCAAAUAAAACCAAUCAUCCACCAAGAGCAAAAGAUGAUGUUUUUCCUUCCCUUCUUGGCCAAUCAAACCCUAAUUUUCUAGUAUAAGUAGAAGUAACAUUUCAGAGCAGAGGGGGAAUUUUUUAGAGGCUGAAGUUAGAGAGAACAGAACAAAAAAUUCACCAUUCUUGCAAAAUUCGAAAUCCACCAAAACACACACAAACCUUCACUUUUCUUCACCCAAUAGCCUCUAAACACUUCCAGUAGCUUGAAACAACAAUAGAAACGAAGGAAAACCGUCAAGAGGAGCUUACUCAAAGUUCAAAAUAGCAAAGAGAAGAGUAGGUGUUAACCCGCCUAANNNNNNNNNNUAGGUUUCUAAACGUUUUAUACUCAUGAACACCUACUGAAGCUUUUACAAUCCUUGAUUUUGUUUAAUUCGUACAAAUGUGAAUUUUAAAGUUUUUUUGGGUUUUAAAGUUUCGAACUUUUUUUGAGAUACAAACAUCUUUUGAAAAAUCUAAGUUCAUAUUAAUAAUCUACGAAAGAUUUCGAGUGAAAAGGUAUAUAAACUUUUAUUUUUUGGUCGAAAAUUGAUGAUGUUGUUGUUGAAGCCGUGAGCUUCGAUGAAGCUUUCAUGGCUUCUUGUUGUUGCUUUCACGUGAAGAAGA
rnacentral:lncRNA from 1 species